UACGUAGGGUGCGAGCGUUGUCCGGAAUUAUUGGGCGUAAAGAGCUCGUAGGUGGUUUGUCGCGUUGUUCGUGAAAUCUCACGGCUUAACUGUGAGCGUGCGGGCGAUACGGGCAGACUAGAGUACUGCAGGGGAGACUGGAAUUCCUGGUGUAGCGGUGGAAUGCGCAGAUAUCAGGAGGAACACCGGUGGCGAAGGCGGGUCUCUGGGCAGUAACUGACGCUGAGGAGCGAAAGCGUGGGGAGCGAACAGG
rnacentral:rRNA from 1 species